UUGCUUCAUGAGCAUAUACACUAAAAGUGAUAUGAUCCAGAGAAGAUUAGCAUAGGCUCUGUGCAAGGAUAACAUGCAAAUUCACACACAACUUUUUUUU
rnacentral:snRNA from 1 species